UCCCAUCGUCAUAUCUGCUCCUGAGUCUGACCCUCCCCCUUCCUGUGAGGAUGCUUGGGAUUAUAUUGGGCUCCAGAUGAUCCCCAUCUCAAGCAUAUACGUUCCUCAAGGCGGCAGGUUUACCUCGCAGAACGCAGUAGCCUGAGGUUCUGGAUUGCAGACUGCCUGGGUGUCAGUCACUGCCCUGGCCGGCUGGGGGCCUUGGGCACGUCACCUCCCCUUCCUGCACCUUGACUUCCCUCGCCUCUGCUCUCCCUUCUCCUCUCUGACCAGCGGCUUCUGCUGCUUUUCAGCCUCUGCUCCCACCACCAACUGCUUCCCUCGGUCUCUGUGCCAUAUUUUCAUUGCAGAGGCCAGACCCUCUGCAGCCUUCAGCAACAUUGAUGUCGUGAAAGGGAAAGAGGUGGAGGGACUGGUCCAGAAGAAAGGAGACUAAAGAGACAUGACAACCGAGUGGAAUAUGGGAUCCUGGGCUGGAGGGAAACAGUGCUGCAAAGAACAUUAGUGACAAACUGGCUAUGGAUGGGAGAGCAGUUAAAAUACUGUGUCGAUGUUAAUUUCCCUCAUUUGCUAAUUGUGCUGUAGUUGUGUAAGACAAUGACCUUUGAUCUUAGCAAAAACACACUGAAGUAUGAAGGGGUAAAGGGGCAU
rnacentral:lncRNA from 1 species